CUUUCCUCUUUUUCCUUUCUUUCUCUUUCUUCUUGUUCCUUCCUUUCUCUUUCUUCUUUUUCUCUCUGAUUUUUCUCUCCAGGUUCAAAGUCCCUGCAAAUGAACUUUAUGACCUGAUAGAAAAUGAAAAGGGAUCGGAAGGGGGAUUUCAAUUUAAGGUGGUUUUCAGACCUGUUUGUUUUGGCAAAGAAAGAAAAA
rnacentral:ribozyme from 13 species